rnacentral:ncRNA from 1 species
AAGGAGUAACCCUGAAAAUCCUUAAAAAAAGAGUAAGGA